rnacentral:lncRNA from 1 species
UGUGAUGCUGUGUGGUUUCUGUCACGUACACACACACAGGCACACUCAUGCACACACCCCCUACCUCCCUGCCUACAUUCCACCCAGCCUGACUGCUCUGGAAGGAAGAAUCCCUGCAAGGUGAGUGUUAUUAUAUCCAUUUGUGGACCAGGACUGCGGCUCAGAAGCUUUUCCCAGGACACUGAACUCUGACAGGUGAAUAGCUGCCAAGUGGUGGAGGUUGGCCUGCAGUGAGCAUCAGUCUGACUUCGAAGGACAGAAUGACACAUGGUACAAGCUUUCUGUCUUACUGCCACACGUCAGUGUCCUGGGAGAUGAACCAGAUGCAGCUCCCUGAUGAAUGUGGGAAUAAAAAUUUAUAUCAGAAUCGACACUGGUUAUAAUGUGAAUUUAUGACAUUACUUGAGAAUAUUCAAUUCUGCUGUAGAGGACAAAAAAAAUGGAAUAAUGAAAUCCAUCAUAAACCCUGGGCAUAGUUGAUGAUAAAAGUGCUGGCCAGGCGUGGUGGCUCAUGCCUGUAAUCCCAGCACUUUGGGAGGCCGAGGCGGGUGGAUUACCUGAGAUCAGGAGUUCAAGACCAGCCUGGCUAACAUGGCGAAACCCCGUCUCUGCUAAAAAUACAAAAAUUAGCUGGGUGUAGUGGCAUGCACCUGUAAUCCGAGCUAUCCAGGAGACUGAGACAGGAGAAUCGCUUGAACCUGGAGGCAGUAAGCCAAGAUCGCACCAUUGCAUUCCAGCCUAGGCGACAGAGCAAGACUCUGUCUCAAAAAAAAAAAAAAAAAAAAGUGCUCUGACGUUAUAUUAUGGUGUUGGUCGCACAACUUUGUGAAUAUAUGAGAAGUCAUGGAAUUGUAUACUUUCAAUGAAUAAAUUAUAAGGCAUACAAGUUAUAUCUCAAUAAAGCUGUUUGCUAAAUUUGGACGUCACUUUUUUUUUAAACAGCUUUGUUGAGGUAUAACUCUGGUGUUAUACGUUUAGUAUUUGUUUGUUCACCUCUAUCAUAAGCUAUAUAAGCUAUAUGUCUCUUAGGACUGGGAUCAUUUUUAUCAAUUGUUACACCUCCACUUCCUUGUAUAGUACUUUUUGCCCGAAUGUUAAUUUAAAAAUGUUUGUUGAAUGAUACAUUUUAGGCUAAAUGAAUACAGUUUGCAUCAGCAUUAGGGUAGACAUGUCACAUGUAGUCCACUAACCCUCCCCAAGUCUUUUAUGUGAGUUGUUGUUAAGCCAGGGCAAUUCUAUCCUGUACUUGGGCAGAAAUUUCUUGAAAAAAAUCAAAGUUAAGAGUUUACAUUUAUUUUAAAAUUUUUAUCAUGUUAGAACCCAUCAGUCAUUUUAGCCAGUUAAGUGUUUUUUUUUUUUUUUUUUUUUUUUGAGAUGGAGUCUUGCUGUUUUGCCCAGGCUGGAGUGCAGUAGUGCGAUCUUGGCUCACUGCAACAUCUGCCUCCCAGGUUCAAGUGGUUCUCCUGCCUUAGCCUCCCCAGUAGCUGGGGUGACAGGUAUGCACCAUGUUGCCCAAGUUUUUGCAUUAUUUAGUAGAGAUGGGGUUUCACCACAUUGCCCAGGCUGGUCUUGAACUCUUGACGUCAAGUGAUCUGCCCGCCUCGGCCUCCAAAGGUGCUGGGAUUACAGGCAUGAGCCACUGCGCCCAGCCAAGAUUUUCUUGGAUUUUUUUCUCUGUCAUUAAGUGUAGUCUCUAUUUCUACCUGCUUUGUACUACAAACCAAUUUAAAUAAGCAUGCUGUCUUUCUCCAUAAAAACAUUAAACUGUAGAACAAUGUUUUUAUGGAGAAAAAGAGCUAAAGUCACAUGCUGGUGGAGCAUAAAACGCUCACUUGAAGAACACCUUGGUAAUGGCUCCAGCUAACUGUACCAUGACCUAAUCCUGUGGCUGGAACCUCUGGGGAGUCUUAUCCACCUCCCCAAAUCCAUUUGACAAGCUCAGGUCCAAUACCACUUCUUUCAUGGGCUAUUCUCUGAUCUUCUCAGAAUGUCUAUCUUCUAUUGAAUUUGCCACAAUAUUUUGUUUGUACUACUCUUGAGACAUCCCACACAACCUUGAAUUAUAAUUGCUCACAUGGGUGUCUCAGCAUUUAUUCUAGACCAUAAGAUACUUAAAAGGAGGAAUUGUGAUUUCUUUGACAGUUUUGUCUCUUAGAAUUUAAGGGUGAGGGUGCUUAAUAAGUAUUAGAAAUAACGGAUAAGUAAAAUAUUCAGUGCUAUUAAAAAUACUAUUAAAUCUCAACACCUCCAGGGGUUACAUAUCUGAAAAAAGAUAUCAUACAUAUCUAUAUAAAUUCUAAAAUAAAUUGAAAUAGUCCAUAUCAAAAACCCUGCUGGAGUAGGUAACUCUUCACAAUCGACUUCAAUUAUUCAUGAUAUAAUUUUUGCAGGCACAUCAAAAAUUGUAUGUUUAGAGGUUAGAGGAUGAAUCCUCUUACAGUUUUCAAACCAGUCUGUACUAGCUUGAAAUGUAAUGUUUCUUGCACUUGAAUUUUCCCUGCUUUGUGUCUGCCAGUCUUGGCCCAAUGCUUGGGUACUUUUUUUAUGUUAUUGUGGUGCUUACAGGUGUUUUUCCAGCUGUGUUUUUCUAUCCUGAGGUUACAUCGGAGUAUGACAUGAUCAAACCUCUUCUUUGCACCAUGUCACAGAACCACCUUAAUGGAAGAGUGGACAAUAACUAUUGUGGUUUUCUCCUAUUUCAGGUGAUGGAAUGGAACCAUGUGUGUACAAAAAGAUACAGGAAUGUACAUAUUCAGUUUGCAAUAUAAAAACAUACACUGUGAUUGGAGAGGGAUUACAACAUUCUAAUUGCAAUUUUUGUCAUUUAUUCAAUAAAUAUUUCCUGGCUGGGUAUGAUGGCUCAAAGUGCCUGUAAUCCCAGCACUUUGGGAGGCCAAAGCAGGCAAAUCACCUGAGGUCAGGAGUUUGAGACCAGCCUGGCCACCAUGGUGAAACCCCAUCUCUACUAAAAAUACACAAAUUAGCUGGGUGUGGUGGUGCAUGCCUGUAAUCUCAGCUACCUGGGAGGCUGAGGCAGGAGAAUUGCUUGAACUCGGGAGGCGGAGGUUGCAGUGAGCUGAGAUUGCACCACUGCACCCCAGCCUGGGCAACAGAGUGAGACUCUGUCUCAAAACAAACAAACAAACAAACAAACAAAUUCCUGAGUGCCUACCAUAUGCUGAUUAAACUGUUCUAGAUGUUGGAGAUGCAGCUAUGGACAAGACAAAUACAGUCUCUUCUCUCCAGGAAUUUACCUUCUAAUGGAGGAGAGAGACAAAAACAACUUUGUACAUAAACCUUUUCUGAUAGUCAUUAAGAAAAUAAAGCAACAUGGUGUCCAAAUUCUAGAUUGCUCAUUUUAAAGGCUAGGGUGCCUAAAACCACAAGGAACAUUUCAGAAUUAGUAACAUUCAUACUUCGUAGAGCUAUACUUAGGCUAAUAAAUGUUUGGUAUUGUUGCCUCCCCAACAGCCACCUCAGACCACCUCCUGACUCCAAGUUUCCCUGCUCAUCAAUCCAAAAUUUUGUUGAAUAUACUACUUCCCCACCCCCAAUGGAGCUUAAGGGUUAACCUGAACUCUCUAAACCAAUCAGGGCAUUCCUACUGUCUUUGAUCGUGAGUGUUGUAGGCAGAGACAUAUAACCCAAUCCUUGCUAAUGAGACUUGAGGUAGGACCCCAGCUUCCGGAGAGGUUGCCUGGCUCCUAAAAAGAGAAAGAUACCGGAAAAGAGAUGGACUCUUCUACCACUGGAAAUCAGAUGGUGUCCUGAGUGACAUAAGUGUACUUACAACAGCCAUUUUGCAACCAUAAAGAAGCCAGUGGGAAUACACAGGCUACGUGUCCUCGAAGGCACAGAAGAAAGAAGAGAGAAAACUAUAUUCUUGAUGACACAGUUGAGCUACAGAAUUGUCCAACCCCGGAGGUGCCCCACUUCGCGUUGUGGGAGAUAAUGCAUUUUCCUUGCUGUUUAAACCACUUUGAGCUGAGUUUUCUAUUACCAGCAGCCUAAAGCAUUUUGACAGAUAAAAGUAGAUACAAAUGCACAUAUAUAAUGAGCAUCCUGACUGAACGAUUAAAUGUGUAUGUAGGCAUGCAUUACCUCCCCACUCCAUUUAUGAUUGUCACAUUUAUUUUUACUUCAGGGAAAAGCAACUAUAGAAUUUAAAAAAUCAGGAUUGAAAACAAAUACCUGAAUUUCCUACAAUUAAAAAAUCAAUCCAUUAAGUAGUGGUAUUAUGCUAAAAUAAAAUGAAUGCUUAGAAAUUUGUUAAGUGUUUAUGAUGUAAUAAGACAUCAAAUAAACCAUUUUUCUUUAAGUUCUUUAAUAAAAAAAAUCUGAUGUGGAGUCCAGUCUUUCAUUUUUAUCACUGGAAUAAAUAGAGAAUAGUCAUUGCAAUCAAUUGCCUGUUUGUUUCCCCAGAG